rnacentral:rRNA from 1 species
GACGAACGCUGGCGGCGUGCUUAACACAUGCAAGUCGAACGGAAAGGCCCUGCUUUUGUGGGGUGCUCGAGUGGCGAACGGGUGAGUAACACGUGAGUAACCUGCCCUUGACUUUGGGAUAACUUCAGGAAACUGGGGCUAAUACCGGAUAGGAGCUCCUGCUGCAUGGUGGGGGUUGGAAAGUUUCGGCGGUUGGGGAUGGACUCGCGGCUUAUCAGCUUGUUGGUGGGGUAGUGGCUUACCAAGGCUUUGACGGGUAGCCGGCCUGAGAGGGUGACCGGCGACAAUGGGACUGAGAUACGGACCAGACUGCUACGGGAGGCAGCAGUGGGGAAUAUUGCACAAUGGGCGGAAGCCUGAUGCAGCAACGCCGCGUGCGGGAUGACGGCCUUCGGGUUGUAAACCGCUUUCGCCUGUGACGAAGCGUGAGUGACGGUAAUGGGUAAAGAAGCACCGGCUAACUACGUG